CUUGGGGCCCGCCAGGUCGUCUAUUUCCUCAAGACGAACUCCUGUUCGUUCAUGAGUUCUUCUUGCCGAUCCAAAUCCUCGCCGAUUCUGCCAAGUCUUUGCCCCUAGGCCACGGAAUCCACUCUAUAUAUAUUCCCCAUCUUCUUCUCUUCCGACUUUUGGCAAAAUUUUGUCUUCCCGUGCCCGUUUCGCCCGGAUCCGAUCUCGCCGGAGUUCGCCGCUGCAGGAGCAUCUCGCCGGUUGAUUCUAUCGCCUCUGAAGGGGAGCACGGAAACGAGCGGUGCAACCUCGACCAGAAGCUUACCUAGUCUGGCCGCGACUCCAGCCGCACUUCAUCGCCACCAGAAAUCGUCCUCGACGCCGAGCAGGACCCAUCCGAGGCCUUCGUGUCACUCCGCGUCCGACGCGCACCUCCCCGAGGCCAUCUGACCUCUGUAUCCGUCGCCCGCAUCUCCACCGAGGCGCCCCGCGCCGUUCUUCUCCAACUCCGGCAGGCGUAUUCUGCUCUUUUCGAUUGUCCAGAGUGUGAAGCGGAUCAGAAUUGAGCGUUAUAAUACUUCAACACCGUUCAAGG